UCAGGUGUGGAAACUGAGGCAGGAGGUGGUGAAGUAACUUGCUCAGUUUGCACAGCUGGGA
rnacentral:pre_miRNA from 1 species